rnacentral:rRNA from 1 species
AAUCAACGCUGGCGGCGUGCCUAACACAUGCAAGUCGAACGAGAAAGUGGAGCAAUCCACAAGUAAAGUGGCGCACGGGUGAGUAACACGUGACUAACCUACCCUUGAGUGGGGGAUAACCUAGGGAAACCUGGGCUAAUACCGCAUAAUACCUAUGGGUCAAAGGAGCAAUUCGCUUUUGGAGGGGGUCGCGGCAGAUUAGUUAGUUGGCAGGGUAAUGGCCUACCAAGACGAUGANCUGUAUCCGGCCUGAGAGGGCGCACGGACACACUGGAACUGAAACACGGUCCAGACUCCUACGGGAGGCAGCAGUGGGGAAUUUUGCGCAAUGGGGGAAACCCUGACGCAGCAACGCCGCGUGGAGGAUGAAGACCCUUGGGUCGUAAACUCCUUUCGAUCGGGACGAUAAUGACGGUACCGGAAGAAGAAGCCCCGGCUAAC